rnacentral:rRNA from 1 species
GUGCCAGCAGCCGCGGUAAUACGUAGUGGCGCAAGCGUUAUCCGGAAUUAUUGGGCGUAAAGAGCUCGUAGGCGGUUUGUCGCGUCUGCCGUGAAAGUCCGGGGCUCAACUGCCGGAUCUGCGGUGGGUACGGGCAGACUAGAGUGAUGUAGGGGAGACUGGAAUUCCUGGUGUAGCGGUGAAAUGCGCAGAUAUCAGGAGGAACACCGAUGGCGAAGGCAGGUCUCUGGGCAUUAACUGACGCUGAGGAGCGAAAGCAUGGGGAGCGAACAGGAUUAGAUACCCUGGUAGUCC